UACCCGCUGUACCCGCCUGCGGUGGACGUCAACCUGGACUACGAGCACUUCCAGUCCCACGGCCAGAUGCCCGUCACGCCCGACGUGCUCAUCGUGCCCUCCGACCUCCGCUACUUCGUCAAGGACGUGAUUGGCUGCGUGUGCGUCAACCCCGGCAGGCUGACCAAGGGCCAGGUGGGCGGGACCUACGGGCGGCUGCUCGUUCAGCGCGGCCCCCCAUUGGCCGGGGGAGAGAGGCGGAGCCCGUGCCUCUCCGGCCAGGUGGUGAAGAUCUGACCCCGCCUCCGACACGCCCCCUCUUUCUGCCACGCCCCCUCUAUCCCCUUGCCAGACUUAACCCUUCACCUUACCAUCGGGGCGAGAGUCCAAGAUACAUGACAUGUAUCUUAUCCGACCGGUUCCAGUAAAACUUUAUUCACAUCCGUCCGAUGACCUAAAUAUUCUCCGACAGCCGAGUAGAGCUCUGGAUUCACCUCAAAAGAAAGUCUUCAAGCGCUGAUCCAGCCGUGGGGCAUAGAAAAACUGAUAAUCCCACCAGCAGGUGGUCCUGUUGAUUCAGGAGCACUUAACUUUAAAGUACCGAUGAGGCCAAGAAACAGGUUUGAGUGCGGUAGGAUACCGUACAAAUUGAUUCACGGGGGCUACUGAGCAACGAACCCGAUAAGAGAGCAAUGAACUCGUUUGGGCAGCAGGGGGUUGUUUCUGUGCCGGUCGGGAAGGGAUAUUUCUGGAGCUGCUCCAAGGCGCGAGAUCUGGGCGAGAUGAAAAACUCGGGAGUCGGGCUAAUUUUUUGGGGCUCACGGUUUUUGUUUUGGGGCUUUUCUAUCAGAAGCAAAGGUGGCAACUGGUAAAUCAGUUUUUUUUUUUUAUCAUCGUUACCGGUUGGAAAGAUGGCGCAGGGAGGGAGUUUCGAGAGAUGAUGGCCUGCCAGGUUGUGCACCCAGGCGGAUGGGGGGUGGACAUCCUGCAGAGGAGGACCUGGAGUGUGAGGGGACCCUGCUAGGGUGCAAAAAACACCCCUGCAGACUCUUCAACGCCUGUAGCCAAUUUUUCGUCUGCAAAGUCUGGAAAAUGCAAAACCGGUCGAUUUAAUUACACCUCCGAAAGGAUCCGGCUCUCUCAAGUCUGUCUGAGCUGAGGUGGCGGGGGCGAGGCGUCAAUGGUAUCCCAGCAGUCUCAGCCGGGUCAUAAGCGACCUGCGUGGUUCCCGACACGACCUUUCCAGAAUUUUUGUUUCCUUCCCAUAGAAAUCCUCCAGCCGAUUCUGACCUGUCGGGGGAAAAAAAAACCCUCCGGGCCCUCCUGUUUCUUCGCUCGGCGUUUUUGAUUCGAAUAAAUUUUUUCACGUCCGAA